CUCUUAUCUAGAGUGGGUGAGGGACGGGCCCGAUGAUCCCCGGCAGCCUGCAGGCCUGCGCGCAAGGUGCCAAUUCCCGCGGAUCCAAUUCCGACAGAUAAGAG
rnacentral:ncRNA from 1 species